rnacentral:rRNA from 1 species
AACGAACGCUGGCGGCAGGCCUAACACAUGCAAGUCGAGCGAGGACUUCGGUUCUAGCGGCGGACGGGUGAGUAACGCGUGGGAAUGUGCCCUUCUCUACGGAAUAGCCCUGGGAAACUGGGAGUAAUACCGUAUAAGCUCUGUUGGGGAAAGAUUUAUCGGAGAAGGAUCAGCCCGCGUUGGAUUAGGUAGUUGGUGGGGUAAUGGCCUACCAAGCCGACGAUCCAUAGCUGGUUUGAGAGGAUGAUCAGCCACACUGGGACUGAGACACGGCCCAGACUCCUACGGGAGGCAGCAGUGGGGAAUCUUAGACAAUGGGGGCAACCCUGAUCUAGCCAUGCCGCGUGAGUGAUGAAGGCCUUAGGGUUGUAAAGCUCUUUCAGCUGGGAAGAUAAUGACGGUACCAGCAGAAGAAGCCCCGGCUAACUCCGUG